rnacentral:rRNA from 1 species
AUUGAACGCUGGCGGAAUGCUUUACACAUGCAAGUCGAACGGCAGCACGGGGCAACCUGUGGCGAGUGGCGAACGGGUGAGUAAUACAUCGGAACGUGCCCAAUCGUGGGGGAUAACGUAGCGAAAGUUACGCUAAUACCGCAUACGAUCUACGGAUGAAAGCGGGGGAUCGCAAGACCUCGCGCGAAUGGAGCGGCCGAUGUCAGAUUAGGUAGUUGGUGGGGUAAAGGCUCACCAAGCCAACGAUCUGUAGCUGGUCUGAGAGGACGACCAGCCACACUGGAACUGAGACACGGUCCAGACUCCUACGGGAGGCAGCAGUGGGGAAUUUUGGACAAUGGGCGCAAGCCUGAUCCAGCCAUUCCGCGUGCAGGAUGAAGGCCUUCGGGUUGUAAACUGCUUUUGUACGGAACGAAAAGGUCCUGGUUAAUACCUGGGGCUCAUGACGGUACCGUAAGAAUAAGCACCGGCUAACUACGUG